GAUCCUGGCUCAGGAUGAACGCUGGCGGCGUGCUUAACACAUGCAAGUCGAACGAAGCAUUUAGAACAGGUUAUUUCGGUAUGAAGUUUCUUUAUGACUGAGUGGCGGACGGGUGAGUAACGCGUGGGUAACCUGCCUUGUACUGGGGGAUAGCAGCUGGAACGGCUGGUAAUACCGCAUAAGCGCACAAUGUUGCAUGACAUAGGUGUGAAAAACUCCGGUGGUAUAAGACUGGACCCGCG
rnacentral:rRNA from 1 species